rnacentral:rRNA from 1 species
AUGGACGACUUCCAGGGCAUCCUGGCCCGCGACUUCGGCCUCCGCCCUAAGGGGAAGGCUGCGCCCAUGUCGGCCGCCCGCGCCGCGGCGCCCUCUGGAUCCGCCUGGGACAGCACCAGAUCCGCCGCCGCUGCCGCGCCAUCCGCCCCCUCCUACGACGAUCUCUUCGGGGCCCCGUCCUCCGCGCCGCCGCCCAAGCCCACGCAGCCGACCUCCAUCGACUCCAUGUUCGACUCCUUCGCGGAGCCCUCUGCCUCAGCCGCGCCGCCCAAGCCCAAGCACUCGUCCAUGCCCGUGUUCGACAAGCCAGUCUACGACGACGAUAUCUUUGACGGGGUCCCCGGUGUGAAGAGCUCCUCGGUGCGCUACGACGACGUCUUUGCGGGCAACCACGCGCCGGCCCCUGCAGACGACGACCUGCUCGCUGGUUUCGGAACCAAGUCAGUGGCUAGGGAGGUGCCGGAAGAUAAGUGGAAGCCCGGGCCAGCAGCCGCCUCAGCGGGGUUUGAUGAUUUGUUUGCGGGGAUUGGCAGGAGCAGCCCGGUGAAGCAAAGGCAAACUGCUGGUGCUAAAGAAAAGAGGGUGCCUACAUCUCAGCCAGCUAGCAUGGCAAGCGACCCUUUUGUUUCUUUUGAAACAACUUCUACUUCAGCCCGUCAAUCCUCUGGGAUAUUCUCGGAUCCCUUGGAUGAAUUGGGUAGGCAUUCAAAAUCUCAAGUAAAAACUGCUGCUGACAGUGGUCUAUUUGAGGAUUCUAGCGCAUUCAAUCAGGUCCCAAAAUCAGAACCUUUGUUUACCACAAAUUUGAGUGAUGACUCUAAAGGUAGCAACGGAUCAACCAAGGCCCGAGACUCGAGCCCUGUGCAAAAUUUUCCGAAAAGAAACUCAGCCCAACAACCUUCUGUGGAGGACUUCGAAAAUAUUUUUACACAGUCACAGUCUGCCCGAUAUUCUGAUGUUCAUGUUGAUAGUGGUGCUCCAGGUUCCGAGAAAUACAGUGGGAAUGGUAUGGAUGACCGGUCACCAAGAUCAGAUGAGUCUGAGGAUGAGAUAUGGCUUACAGUUUCUGAGAUUCCCCUCUUCACACAGCCAACGAGUGCCCCACCACCUUCAAGACCACCACCAUCUCUUGCAAUUAAGCAAAAACCGCAUGGAUCAAGAGCAAAACGAAGGGAUGAUGAAUAUCUGCGGCACUCCACCCAGAACUACAACCAUAACAAAAAUUCUUCGAUGGAUGAAUUAGAAGAAUUUGCCAUGGGCAAACCUCAGAAAUCAGCUUAUGACAAUGCAAAUCCUUUUUAUGAGGAUGAAUCUGAGCGGAAUUCAUCGGCGGCAGCAUCUGCAGCUGCUAUGAAGGAAGCCAUGGAGAAAGCUGAGGCUAAGUUCAAGCAUGCUAAGGAAGUACGAGAGAGAGAACGUGAUGCAAAGCUUAGAAAUAGGGAACAGCAGGAACAGGAUGAUGAAGCAAGGUCGUAUGCACAGGAUCGGGAAGAGAGAGAGAGGCAGGAGAAACUAGACAGGGAGAAAGAGAUGAGACAAAGGGAGGAAAAGGAGAGAGAACAAAGAAGACUUGAAGAAGCGAGGGAGCUUGAGCAACAGAGAGAAAGAGGGAGGGGUAGACAAGCUGUGGAGAGGGCUACAAAGGAGGCACGGGAAAGAGCAGCUAUCGAAGCACGUGCAAAAGCAGAGAGGGAAGCACACCUACGUAAUGAGAGGGCUGCUGUGCAAAGAGCUCAGCAGGAAGCUCGUGAGAGAGCUGCAGUGGAUGCUAGAGACCGAGCUGAUAGGGCUGCUGCUGAAGCUAAGGAGAAGGCUGCUGCUCAAACCAGGGAGAGGGCUACAGCAGAAAGAGCUGCUGUUGAGAGAGUUCAACAAGAUGCAAAGAGAAGAGCUGACCGAGCAGCAGUGGAAAAGGCCGCAGCUGAGGUUCGGGAAAGGCAAGCUGCUGAGGCUCGAGAGAGGCACGCUGCUUCUGCAGCGGCAGCAGCGGCAAGAGAAAAACAGAGUAAACCAGAUGACCUUGAGUCCUUUUUUGGUAUGGGUGCCCGAGCAAACAGUGCACCUAAGCAAAGGGCUCCAACAGUGGAUCCUACGUUUAAUGCUCAAAGUCAAAGUAGAGCGGCAGCAACCUCUGCUUCAGCAUCAUCUAUGCGGAAGGCAUCAUCUACAACAAAUUUUACGGAUGACCUAUCCGUGAUAUUUGGAGGAGCUCCCACGCCAUCUGAUGAGUUUCAAGCGGUUGAAGGAGAGAGUGAAGAGAGAAGACGUGCUAGGUUGGAGCGGCAUCAACGGACCCGUGAACGAGCGGCAAAAGCUCUGGCUGAGAAGAAUGAACGGGACAUGAAUGUUCAAAGAGAGCAGGCAGAAAGAGAUAGAAUUUCGGAAAGUUUAGACUUCGAGAUUAAGCGAUGGGCUGCUGGAAAAGAAGGCAAUUUGCGGGCACUGCUAUCAACUAUGCAAUAUGUACUUUGGCUAGAAUGUGGAUGGCAGCCUGUAUCCCUAACAGAUCUGAUCACUGCUGCUGCGGUUAAAAAGGUGUACAGAAAGGCAACUUUGUGCAUCCAUCCUGAUAAGGUGCAACAAAAGGGUGCAAAUCUACAGCAGAAAUAUAUCGCCGAGAAGGUUUUUGAUCUUCUUAAGGAGGCCUGGAACAAAUUUAACUCCGAAGAGCUCUUCUAG